CUCAUUUUCUCCUGCUGCUGCCAUGUAAAAGUGCCUUUCACCGCUUGCCAUGAUUCUGAGGCCUCCCUAGCCAGGUGGAACUGUUUCUACAAUAAAUCAAGACUGCACAAAAAUAUUUGGAUGCUGUAUGGAAAACAACUUUUACCAGGUCUCCAACUGGCAUAAAAUGUUUUCAAGUAUGAAAACAUCUCUGGGCUUCCUCAACAGGCUGACAGAUCCCUGCAGGACCAAAGAUCAUAUGAUAUAUAUUAGAAGGUAAUGAUCAGUUUAUCACUUGAACAAAAACACCCACACCAAGACAACUAUUACUUUGGAUUAUCGGCAGCAACAAAUAUUCACUUGGAUAAAAUCACGAAUUUUACUUAUAAGUGCAUAAUACACUUUAUUAAAAAAUGCAAUCUGAAGGAAUUCCUACCACAUCAGAACUCCUGGGCUCAUCAGAGUUGGGAAGUUAAUACUCAUUUCGGCAUCUGGUCCAAAUAAAGAAUUGAAUAAACUCAUAAAUCCACUAGAAAGGCUACAGAGUCUUGUCAUCCAGGCUGAAGUGCAGUGGCUUGAUCUUGGCUCACUGCAACCUCCACCUCCCAGGUUCAAGCGAUUCUCCUGCCUCAGCCUCCCGAGUAGCUAGGAUUACAGGCACAUGCCAACACGUCUGGCUAAUUUUUGUAUUUUUAGUAGAGAUGGGGUUUUGCCGUACUGGCCACGCUGGUCCUGAACUCCUGACCUCAGGUGAUCCACCUGCCUCAUCCUCCCAAAGUGCUGGGAUUACAGGUAUAAGCCACCACGCUCAGCCCCAGUGCAUGAGUUUUAACAGAAGUUUCUGCAAUUAGUACUAUUUUAAUAAUAACGCUUCUUCUAGAACAGAAAUGUCACUUCAACCACAGAAAUACAUACGUGUUGAGUAAGCUAAAGGGCUAUUAUGCUACCAUACGCUGAAAAAAUGAGAAAGCACUUGUCUUGCAGGUACUUGCAAUUAUUCUUUCCUCAAUCAGCCCUUCCUUCUCCCACUUACGUUUGUUUUAAAGAUAUUCUGCUGCAAUUAGGGGGGUGAGAACCUAGUAGAAUUACACAAUAUAAUAAUGUGAUGUUUUCUUCUUUUUAAAUAAGUUUACUACUCCCCCAACCAAGUAAAUAACUUAAGGGUACACUGUUAUGCUUAAGGAAGUCAAAAUGAUGAUUUCAAAAAUAAAUACCCUCCUCUUCAGAAGCUGAUUAAUACAGUGCCAUAACUCCUUUUGAGAAUCAAUGGAAGAUUCAGCGGCUUUUCAUCAGGAAGGAAGCAGAAGGGAUAAGGAUUUGGCAUGCUUCAAAUUGAGAGGAAAAAUUACCACUGUUGUGAUAGAUGGUUUGAAAAACCCAUCAAGUGGGUAACUAGAUCUUAUAGCCAGACUGCAGCCAUCAGGAAUUCUAACUCCAAAAAAACUUCUUCAAGUUGAAGAAAACGCAGAUAAUGAGUAAGAAAACAUUCUGCAGAUUCAUUUGUAUUGCAGAGGAAUUACUUCCAAUGUUCUUCCAGUCCUGGCCCCUAGUAUAAACUGCUGUUGAUAGGAGAUGCAGUGAGUUGUCUCCCAGAAACUUGAAAGUGAGGGAAAUAAGAUCACCUUCAAAGAUGUAUGCUGUGAAAUCAUCAUAUAAAUGAUCCAAGCAGAAAUGGCUACAGUCAUCUUAUAGCAGUAGCAGAGCUUGGGGCCUGAGUGUGUGUGGCAGACUCAACAGAGGUGACAUUAACCUGACUUACCAUGUUAGCAUAUCUGAAGAGUGGAAGAACUAGCUAAUCAGAAGGUGGAAGCCUCACAAAAGGAGCAUCCUGACACAUAUGGUGACAGUACCGUCCUAGCAUGGUCUCAAGAGCGGGAGUGGUAACCCGCAAACUUUCAGACCUUCAGUGUCCUGUUGGCAUGAAGAAGGCUGACCCUGAGGCAGGAUGGAUGGGUCAGGAUGUUUCAGCCCGAUGUUAUUAACAUUCAAGUCAUUCAAAUUUCCUGAUCCCAUGCUCACCAAGCAACCUCCUGAUUAUUAUCUGGCUCUGCACAUAGACUUAAUUACAGGAAAGAUAAUACACUGGCCAUAAGGACUUGAAUAAUCUGAACACCAUGACAGUUAUUUCAUAUUGUGGUUGAAUAGACAGGCAGUUGGCCACAAUAUAUCUCCCUACAUAGCUGCUGUCUCCAAGGGGAGAAUUUGCUGCUUAUGUGCUGGGUCUCAGGGAAAAGAUAAUGACUGUAGCAGGUAAUUGCACUGCUGCUUACUACGUGGCUGGCACUGUCUAAAUGCCUUACAUGUACUAAUUCAUUUAAUUUUUAUGACCAUCCUAUGACGUCAAUAAUCAGGCUGAUUUUACAGAUGGAGGAAACUCAAACACAUAGAAGCUGAGUAACUUGCCCAAGAUCAUCUCAGUCUGUUGGGAAGGAAACUGGAGCCCAGAGUCCAGGUACCAGAAUUCAGGCCCAUCGCCACCGUUCUAUACUGUCUUUCCAUUUAUUUCAGGCCCUGAACUUUAUUAUUCAGCCCUCAAAUUAAAAAAAAAAAAAACUAUGAAAAUUAAAAUUUUUUUCAACAUGUACCUGCAAUAUGACCUACUGUGAUCUGAAUUAACUUGGUGGCAAAACUGUACUGAAACUUGUGUGAGGGUAUUAUUUAUAGUCUUACUUCAUCCCAGUUGCUGAGAAUAAUCAUGUUUGCUGUAGAAACAUUAAAAUGUUUGAUUAAAUGGUGUUGCCUAAUAUUCUGCUGUGGGUAUUGUUGUAAUAUAUGUGCACUGUAUUACCUUUGUAAAAUCCUAAAGAUGUUGAAUUCCAAAUCAUAUCUGGUCAGAUGAGGGACCACAGACAAUAGAUCAGUGGUUGUACCUGAAUAACUUGGUAUUCCGGUUUUCAACACUGGGCCUACAGCUUGGUCAUACACAUAUGUGGAAGAACCUCUCUUACUGCGCUGACAAAAUUAGGAUUCUGAGCCAGAAAGGCUGGUAGUCAAGCCACCCAGGCAGUAAAUAACCCUCGGGGAGGCCUGUGAAAAUCCGCCAUCCGAUAUGCUAUCUAGAUGGUUCGAUUGGCCAUGAGCACCAGUGAGACUUUUUCCCAUUAAAGUUCCUCCAAGAACUCAGAUGGUCUCUCCUGUAGGAGAUUGAAGGCUCUUGUGUUGGAGCUGGUGACCUGUGAAGGCCACAUAUUCCAGGAGAUACAAGAAUAUCAAUGGGAAGCCAGUGUAGCCACGUGCACAUUACAGGGCUAUUAGGUUUACUUAUCCACUCACAAAAGUAAUUCCACAAAUGGGCUGGGCGUGGUGGCUCACACCUGUAAUCCCAGCACUUUGGGAAGCUGAGGCAGGUGGAUCACCUGAGGUCAGAAGUUCGAGAGCAGCCUGACCAACAUGGU
rnacentral:lncRNA from 1 species